GCCAGGAACGGUGGUGCAUGCCUGUAAUCCCAGCAACUCGGGAGGCUGAGACAGGAGGACUGUGAGUUCAAAGCCAGCCUCAGCAAUUUAUCGAGGCCCUAAGCAACUCAGUGAGAACCUGUCUCUA
rnacentral:sRNA from 1 species